rnacentral:rRNA from 1 species
GUAGGUGAACCUGCGGAGGGAUCAUUACACAAAUAUGAAGGCGGGCUGGAACCUCUCGGGGUUACAGCCUUGCUGAAUCAUUCACCCUUGUCUUUUGCGUACUUCUUGUUUCCUUGGUGGGUUCGCCCACCACUAGGACAAACAUAAACCUUUUGUAAUUGCAAUCAGCGUCAGUAACAAAUUAAUAAUUACAACUUUCAACAACGGAUCUCUUGGUUCUGGCAUCGAUGAAGAACGCAGCGAAAUGCGAUAAGUAGUGUGAAUUGCAGAAUUCAGUGAAUCAUCGAAUCUUUGAACGCACAUUGCGCCCUUUGGUAUUCCAAAGGGCAUGCCUGUUCGAGCGUCAUUUGUACCCUCAAGCUUUGCUUGGUGUUGGGCGUCUUGUCUCUAGCUUUGCUGGAGACUCGCCUUAAAGUAAUUGGCAGCCGGCCUACUGGUUUCGGAGCGCAGCACAAGUCGCACUCUCUAUCAGCAAAGGUCUAGCAUCCAUUAAGCCUUUUUUUCAACUUUUGACCUCGGAUCAGGUAGGGAUACCCGCUGAACUUAAGCAUAUC